rnacentral:rRNA from 1 species
CCUACGGGAGGCAGCAGUGGGGAAUCUUGCACAAUGGGGGAAACCCUGAUGCAGCGACGCCGCGUGAGUGAAGAAGUCAUUCUUGAUGGACAGCUCUAUCAGCAGGGGAGAAAAUCACUGUACGUGAGUGAUAAUGCCCGGCUAACUAGGUUCCAGCAGCCGCGGUAAUACGGAGGGGGCCAGGGUUAUCCGGAUUUACUGGGUGUAAGGGGAGCGUAGACGGCAGUGCAAGUCUGGAGUGAAAGGUGGGGGCUCAACCCCCGGACUGCUGUUGAAACUGUCCGGCUGGAGUGCAGGAGAGGUAAGUGGAAUUCCUAGUGUAGCGGUGAAAUGCGUAGAUAUCAGGAGGAACACCAGUGGCGAAGGCGGCUUACUGGACUGUAACUGACGCUGAGGCUCGAAAGCGUGGGGAGCAAACAGGAUUAGAUACCCGAGUAGUC